rnacentral:rRNA from 1 species
AGAGUUUGAUCCUGGCUCAGAACGAACGCUGGCGGCAUGCCUAACACAUGCAAGUCGAACGGGAUCCAGACUUCGGUCUGGUGAGAGUGGCGGACGGGUGAGUAACGCGUGGGAACCUGCCCAAUGGUCUGGGAUAACCGCGGGAAACUGCGGCUAAUACCGGAUAAGCCCGAGAGGGGAAAGAUUUAUCGCCGAUGGAGGGGCCCGCGUCCGAUUAGGUAGUUGGUGGGGUAAUGGCCUACCAAGCCUACGAUCGGUAGCUGGUCUGAGAGGAUGAUCAGCCACACUGGGACUGAGAUACGGCCCAGACUCCUACGGGAGGCAGCAGUGGGGAAUAUUGGACAAUGGGGGCAACCCUGAUCCAGCAAUGCCGCGUGAGUGAUGAAGGCCUUAGGGUUGUAAAGCUCUUUUACCGGGGACGAUGAUGACGGUACCCGGAGAAUAAGCCCCGGCUAACUUCGUGCCAGCAGCCGCGGUAAUACGAAGGGGGCGAGCGUUGUUCGGAAUUACUGGGCGUAAAGGGCGCGUAGGCGGCGACCCAAGUCAGAUGUGAAAGUCCUGGGCUUAACCUGGGGACUGCAUUUGAUACUGGGUUGCUUGAAUUCGGGAGAGGAUAGCGGAAUUCCCAGUGUAGAGGUGAAAUUCGUAGAUAUUGGGAAGAACACCGGUGGCGAAGGCGGCUAUCUGGACCGACAUUGACGCUGAGGCGCGAAAGCGUGGGGAGCAAACAGGAUUAGAUACCCCAGUAGUCC